rnacentral:misc_RNA from 1 species
GAUGAAGAACGCAGCGAAAUGCGAUAAGUAAUGUGAAUUGCAGAAUUCAGUGAAUCAUCGAAUCUUUGAACGCACAUUGCGCCCGCCAGCAUUCUGGCGGGCAUGCCUGUCCGAGCGUCAUUUCAACCCUCAAGCCCCCGGGCUUGGUGUUGGGGAUCGGCGAGCCUCCGCGCCCGCCGUCCCCUAAAUCUAGUGGCGGUCUCGCUGUAGCUUCCUCUGCGUAGUAGCACACCUCGCACUGGGAAACAGCGCGGCCACGCCGUUAAACCCCCAACUUCUGAACGUUUGACCUCGGAUCAGGUAGGAAUACCCGCUGAACUUAAGCAUAUCAAUAAGCGGAGGA